GUGGCGUUGGCUGAAGUGGAAAUGGCUCCGGGUUGUGAUUCCGGAAAAUUUGGGUUCGAACCCCAACCGUCACCCCA
rnacentral:tRNA from 1 species